rnacentral:misc_RNA from 1 species
AGAGAGAGAGAGAGAGAGAGAGAGAAAUGAAGUCCAGAUAUUAUAUACAUAGAAAAGAUUUCAGACAUUGUCUAAAUAUCUUCACCUGUAAAAGCUAUUUAGCACUUCAAUUAUGCUUGGUGUGCAAUUAUCCAUCACCUUUUUCUUGCGCAAUCUGAUUNUCAACGACCAACAGACUUGAAGGAUUCAGUAAAUGUAAUUGAAGGUGUACUAUAACUCAAG